rnacentral:lncRNA from 1 species
AGAGGGUCUUGGUGCCGCCCUGUAUCAGCGUCAGGGUGGGAAAUUACGAGUGAUAGGGUAUGGGUCUAGAACAUUGACGCAGGCAGAGAGGAACUACCACCUACACAGUGGCAAGCUUGAGUUCUUGGCGCUAAAAUGGGCAAUUUGCGAAAAGUUUAGGGAUUAUUUAUUCUAUGCACCACACUUCACAGUGUAUACGGAUAACAAUCCCCUAACUUAUGUCAUGAGUACUGCCAAACUCAACGCUGUUGGCCAUCGGUGGGUAGGAGAAUUGGCAGACUUUUGUUUCGAUGUGAAGUAUCGACCUGGGAGGGCAAACAUCGAUGCUGAUACGUUGUCACGCAUGCCCUUCAACAUUGACAAGUACAUCCAGGAGUGCACAGAGGGGCUACCUCAGGAUGUGGUGCAAGCAGCAUGGAAGGGGAGUAAAGUGGCUGAACAAAAGGACGUGGCAUGGAUUGCUGCCCUACACAUUUCUGCUGAAAACCACAAUGCUCAGAUCUGCAAAAUUCUACCACCCAUUAGUCAUGACGAGUUAGUGAAAGCACAGAGAGAGGAUGAAUCCAUUGGAGAGGUGAUAACACUUAAAGAGAAACAGGCAACCCUCACAAGCAACCUGAGACAGAGAGUGAGUGGGACAUCAAGAAAGCUUUUGAAUGAAUGGAGCAGACUACACUUGGAGAAUGGACUCCUUUACAGAAAAACUAGUCAGCGAAAGCAACUGGUUCUGCCUACAAAGUACCGACCCAUUGCAUUAAAACAACUUCACAAUGACAUGGCCCACGUUGGUACUGAGCGUGUCCUUCACCUGGCAAGAGAUAGAUUUUAUUGGCCAUACAUGAAGAGAGAAAUUGAGGCUUACAUCACACGCAAGUGUCCAUGUAUCGCUCAGAAGAAACCAACCACACACAUUCGUGCUCCACUGGGCAGCAUCUCCUCCAGUUCACCCCUUGAGCUUGUAUGUAUAGAUUUCUUACAUCUAGAGAAAAGCCGAGGAGGAUAUGAGUACAUCUUGGUGCUUGUUGACCACUUCACUAGAUUUUCACAGGCGUAUGCCACAAAGAACAAGUCUGGGCGGACAGCAGCACAGUGUAUCUUUAAUGAUUUCAUUCCUCGUUUUGGUUACCCCUUCAAGUUACAUCAUGACCAAGGCAGGGAGUUUGAGAAUGAGCUCUUUAAGGACCUUCGACGGCUGUCAGGGGUAGGCCACUCCAGAACAUCACCCUAU